rnacentral:rRNA from 1 species
CCGCCGCCUGACUGAACGCUGAGGCCCCAAAAGCGGGGGUAUUGAACCGGGUUAGAACCCCUGUUAGUCCACGCAGUAAACGAUGAAUGCCGGCUGUUCGGGUCAACUGCGACCGGAGGGGCGAAGCGAAAGCGAUAAGCAUUCCACCUGGGGAGUACGCCGGCAACGGUGAAACUCAAAGGAAUUGACGGGGGGCCCGCACAAGCGGAGGAACAUGUGGUUUAAUUCGAUGAUACGCGAGGAACCUUACCCGGGCUCAAACGGGGGCGGAAUGGCGGAGAGACCCGUCAGUCUACGGACCGCUUCCGAGGUGCUGCAUGGUUGUCGUCAGCUCGUGCCGUGAGGUGUCGGCUUAAGUGCCAUAACGAGCGCAACCCCUGCCGACUGUUGCUAACGAGUUAGGUCGAGGACUCAGUCGGGACUGCCGGCGCAAGCCGCGAGGAAGGCGGGGAUGACGUCAAAUCAGCACGGCCCUUACGUCCGGGGCGACACACGUGUUACAAUGGGCGGCACAGAGGGAAGCCAGGUGGCGACACCGCGCGGAACCCGAAAGCCGUUCUCAGUUCGGAUCGGAGUCUGCAACCCGACUCCGUGAAGCUGGAUUCGCUAGUAAUCGCGCAUCAGCCAUGGCGCGGUGAAUACGUUCCCGGGCCUUGUACACACCGCCCGUCAAG